ensembl:lncRNA
CAUCAUUCAUCUUCCUUCAAAUCUCUAGCCAGGGCUUCACAGGGCUUGGCAGCUCAAUUUCCUUUCAGCCUACUGGAUGAGACAGAAGGGUCCACCGGUCACUUAUCUAAGCAAAGCACAUUGGGAGCCAUUAGAACUUGCGCCACCCGGCAGACUGUUCUGAACCAGAGAGGAGAAAUCAAGGCUGCCUCACCAUAUGAGACUCAGUUUCAGAUUCCCAAGCAGAGAAUCUGACUGGCUGAGUGCUGGCAUCAUGCACAUGAUAGGGCUGCCAUGGCUCAUGUUGCCCACAACACACUACCUGAUGACUGCCCCUGACUGAGGAAAAGGGCGCAGAAAGUGAUGGACAAAAAUGGACACAUAUGCACUAUGACUGGAGGCUCUGCAUUCACUUCUGAUGGGUACUAGACCCUGCUGAGCGGGGGUGAGAAGAGAGGAUUCCAAGAAGAGUAACAUAGACCCUGCCCUCAGUGAAGUGGAGCCCUGCUAUUAUAGCACCUACAGCCUAAAAGUAUCUUUCAUCUAAAACUUAAUCACUUAAAAAGCUCUUUCAUGUCUAUUACAUUUGCCCUUGACAACAGCACCGUGUUAAAACUCCCCAGUGUUCGCUGUGGUGGCUGGCAUGUAGUAGGGAUUCGAUAAACAUUUGCUAAAUGGAUGGAUGAGUAAAGGAAUGGAUGGGGAAGGAAGAAUUAAAUCCAAACUGUGGCAAAAGUACAGCCUUUGCGGUCGUCAGUCUGGUUCAGCACUGCCCAGUGGAACUGGUGAUGGCUCUUGAUCUGUGCUGUGCAAUAUGGUAGCUGCAUAUGGCUACUGAGUGCUUGUAAUGUGCUAACGAGACUGAGGAAUUAAACUUUAAUUUAACUUUAAUUCACUUAAAUCUAAAGAGCCACCCACAGUGAAUGGCUACUGCACUGGACAGUACAGAGUUCAAAUUCCAGCUCUGUUUUUCCAGCUUAUAAACUGAGUACAUGGAAGUUACCACUUGGAUGACUGACUCUCACCACCACUGUUUUUACUGCCACUAUUAAGAGGAUGCCAGGACUCAGAGAGGUUGAAAGGUCUGUCCAGGUUGCCGCACUGGUGAACCACAGAGUGGGAUUUGCGUCUCCUAUUUUCAUUCCCGCAGGGCCUUUCUUAUUACCAAGGUAAACAAGGGCCUGAAUAACCCAGAAGGGCAGGAAGAAUCAUCUGUCCACUGAAAAAUGAGUCCUCUGCAUAGGUUUGUAAUUAGUAUUCACAUUCACAUAGCUUCCACAGUGGUUAAUGAAACAUAAAUUUGUUUAAAACCAUUACUGAUAUUAUAUAGCUUUUUAUUAUUAUGUAGAUUCUUAAUCAACAGAUACUAAAAGUACAGUUACUCUCAUGUGAGGUAUCUUAGAAUUCUUUGACACUGAAAAGCCAUCCUCAUCCUCUUUGUUGAAAAUGUCAUUAGCACCUGCUUCUUAAAACAUAAAGAAAAGAAAGACACGGGAUACAUACACACAAAAGAAUCUAGUGUCUAGAGAAAACAGUGAUGCAAGAGACCUCAUAAAUCAGUAUAUAUUCCAGGUACAUUUGCUAGGAAAAAACCACAUGAAUGGUGGUUUUGACCAAAAGGGGUUUAUUUAAACUCAGUUAAUAGAAAAGAUCAAUGUCUAAUUCCGGAAAGGAUUCUGUAACAAUCCGCAACUAUGAGUAAUACAGCUGAGUUUAGUUUUAAAAAACAAAUCACACACAUUCAGAAUAGGUAAAGCAAAGCUUUAAGGCAGAUUCUGUGAAAGAUUUCAGAGUUUUAGAAGAGCGGCCCUCAACUGUGUGAAUAUAACCCAAAUGGUGCCUGUGAGGAUCUACUGGGAUGAGGAAAUAAAAUCACUGCAUUGCCUGCAUAUACUAUAUUGACUUUUUAUCCUAAAAAAGAAACCAAGCUUCAUUGAUAUUUAAUAUAUGUAUGGACAGCAGUACAUUAUAUAAUUUAAAUAAAUAGACAUCUAGAAAGCUUAUGCCCCCAAAUUAUUUCCCUAAUCAGAUGGCAUAAUUUAAAAUACUUAGACAUUUUUAUUUUAGAAGACAAGCUCAGGCUAACCUGCAGUAUGAUGUGAUUAUUAAAAAUAAGACAAAUAUGGAAUCAUCUUAGCUAUAUUAGUUAGCUUUUCUCCUUAACAAACUACCCCCAAAUGAGUUGGUUUACAACAACCAUUUUUAAAAAAUUUUAGAACCUGCACAACGUUCCUCAUUCUGAUGUAAGAAUAUGGGUUCUGAAAACUAAGUCGUAUGAGCAAAGGUUGAAAGAAUCGGGAUCGUGAUGCUACGCAAAGAGAGCUUUCACAGGAAAGAGGAAUAUAUGUGUGAGACACUUACAAUCUUGAUUUCUUAUAGCUUAGAUUCUAAUACAGUUUAUAGUGGAAGGAAAAAUAUUUUGAAUGGAUGAUCCCUUGAAGCAACAGAAUUUAAAGCAUGUUUUUCUUUCUCUAAUUGAUUUUACAAAUACAGAACUCUAUGAUUUCAGAGUGGUCCAUUUGUGUGGAAUGACACAGUCGGCUAAUAGAAAAAUUACUGGAAAAUCCCAGAGGAGAUGGAUUUCUUUCAUACUUAUCAACUUUUCUCAUUUUUAUGAGAAUUGGCUAUUUCUUUCUCCUCUUUUUAAGAGAGAAACAAUACAGUCUUUGUUUCUAUUUCUCCCUCCCCCAUUCAAAUUCUAUAAAUGUAAAUUUAAAAUAUGGGCAGAUUUGAAAAUGGAUUAUGAAGAAAAUGCUUUAGCAUAAACAAAAGGAAGAUGGAGUAAAACGCAUGUCCGUCACUGCAUGGGAAAUGGUGUGACAAAUACCCAGUACUUUUGUCUAGAGAAUGGUGGUGACUCAGAGUAUCGUGGUCCACCUGAAAGAAUGUGAAAAGUGAAAUAUAUUUAAACAAAAACCCAUGCAAGUGCUGUGUCCCUUCUGGAUAUACCUGGAACCAUGUUCUGUUUCAAUAAUUUUAUAUCCUCUCCUAGAAAUAAAAUUUCUGCAAAGCUAAAUCAAAAUGCUAUUUAAAAGAUCUAUGCCUUGUUUAAGAAGCUACUUUAUUGUAAGAUUUAGAAUUAAAAUUUAAGAUCAUCCAAUAAAAUAAAUUUGAAUAACCAACAACCUUGAAAAUUUAUAUCAGUGAUAACAUUUAUAUAUAUAUAUAUAUUUUUUUUGGCUUUUAAACAAACAACAAACUAAGCCUGCAAUGAAAACAGAAAUGUCAUUUCUUUCGGUAGCAUUAUUGGGAGAAAACUCAGAAAUGACUGUAUCCUUACUCAAAGAGAAUUUUUUUUUUUUUUUUGGUCAAGUGGUUAAAAAAAUCAAUCUAUAUGUUCUCCCACUUUUCUAG